rnacentral:rRNA from 1 species
AUUGAACGCUGGCGGCAUGCUUUACACAUGCAAGUCGAACGGCAGCGCGGGCUUCGUCCUGGCCUCGAGUUGCGAACGGGCGAGUAAUUCAUCGGAACGUGCCCAGUAUUUGGGGAUAGCCUGGCGUAAGCCGGAUUAAUACCGCAUAGGACCUUAGGGUGAAACGGGGGGAUCGAAAGUCCUCGCCCUAUUUGAUCGGCCGUAGUCGGAUUAGCUAGUUGGUGUGGUAAAGGCUUACCAAGGCGACGAUCCGUAGCUGGGCUGAGAGGACGACCAGCCACACUGGAACUGAGACACGGCCCAGACUCCUACGGGAGGCAGCAGUGGGGAAUUUUGGACAAUGGGGGCAAGCCUGAUCCAGCCAUGCCGCGUGCGGGAAGAAGGCCUUCGGAUUGUAAAACGCUUUUGUUAGGGAAGAAAAACUGUGGGAUAAUACCCCGGGGGGAUGACGGUACCGGAAGAAUAAGCACCGGCUAACUACGUG